CUCAAAUGUAUGUUGACGUAUUCUGAAACGGGAUACUUCUUCGGACAAUAUACAAGGUGCUGCAUGGUUGUCGUCAGCUCGUGCCGUGAGGUGUCGGGUUAAGUCCCAUAACGAGCGCAACCCCUAUCAUUAGUUGCCAUCAGGUCAAGCUGGGGACUCUAAUGAAACUGCCUACGCAAGUAGUGAGGAAGGUGGGGAUGACGUCAAAUCAGCACGGCCCUUACGUCCAGGGCUACACACGUGCUACAAUGGCCGGUACAAAGGGCAGCUACCUGGUGACAGGAUGCUAAUCUCAAAAGCCGGUCUCAGUUCGGAUCGGAGUCUGCAACCCGACCCCGUGAAGCUGGAAUCGCUAGUAAUCGCGCAUCAGCCAUGGCGCGGUGAAUACGUUCCCGGGCCUU
rnacentral:rRNA from 1 species